AAUCGUUGAUCACCGAUUCAUAAAAAAUUCUUUCGCUUCGGUAGGUUUAUGUUACAUUUGUGUUGUAGCUAUGAUUAUCAGCUCGUCAUGACAAAGUCAUCAAUUGAAAUAUAAUUAAAUAUGAGUAGUAUUGACCGAACGUGCAACCCAACAAGUGACGCUGAAUCGUAACACCCAAUUACGCCGCAUGGGCACUAGCUUGCAUAUAAAACCGACCAACAAAUUAAAUUGCCGAUCGCCUUCCGCCGCGCGAGACCACGCACACGAAUAAACAGCCAGCCAGACAGAAUUAGCAGAAGAGCCUUACAUUCAGCAAGUGGAGUGAGACCAUCCCAGGAGAAGGUGCCUUCUGCGUCAGUGGCAGACAGUGGAAAAAACUCGUGUGACGCUUGGAUCAACUCGGGAAAAAGAAGGCAAUUAAUCUGAUGAUAUUUUGGUGCAAACUUCGCGAAAACAUCACUGUUCGUACGAGCGAUAGCGAGGCCGCCAUUGCGAACUGGUGGAUCUCGUGGCAGGGAAUUGAAACUAAAACCAAUUCGGAAAGCGCACAGAGAACGCAAUCAGCACCCCUUGGACUCGCGGAGCGUCGGUGGUCCCAGGAUUCGUGCGCGAAAAGCGUGGCCAGUUUGGGGACGGAUAACACGCGCCAUUAUUGGCUUCGCACAUGUGCUUUGACGCACUGGAAACACCUUUAGACUGCACCGAAGGCAAGACGGAAUCUGCUGUCCAAAUAGAGCGCAAUCUUACAAGCGAGAAAGCCUUCGUCCGCGAAGUAAGUUGGGCGUUUGGAAAAAACUCGAACCGUGGCUAAUCUGCUGGGGCCAUAGGGCUUUUUUUCUGCUUGUACAUUUAAUUCACAGUGCUAAACUCGUCGACACAGAACCGAUGCGGUUCUAGGAACCACCGCUUGGCAGAAGCCUAGCCAGUCUGAGAGACACCCUGGUCUGAGUGAACGGGAACGGAAGCCACGGAGAUCGCAUCGAGUCGCGGAUUCAGCGAUCGUGAACACCGUUCUUCAAUUAAGCCGGGAGCGGAAGGCUCAGUGGCAGAUAGCACAACCGCGCGGAAGGCUCGAGGGAGAAGGAGAACUUUGCAACGGUGUCCGCUGCGGCACUCUGGGAAUUACGUGCGCAGCUAUGCUCGGGGUCUGGUAGCCACGGUACCGUGAGUAAUAUGAAUGAGUAGGUUAGGGAAAUAACUGUAGGAGCUAGAAUACGCCGCAUGUAACGAAUAUUUAUGUAAGACUCUGUAAUCGAAAAAUUGGGCAACAUGAAAGGUUAAUACUACACUCAUUGUCGUACUUCAUUCAUUUUUGGGCAUUUCGAUCUGCUAGUCGGAUGCGUCUAGGGUCUUCGCUUGAACGCCCACACUCGAAACCGAAACACGAUUUCCACAAAAUUAGUGUCAAAUGAAAGGUUUAGCUGCCUCAUAACACCCUAUUGAAUUUUCUGUAAGGUAUCGAAAUGUGCAAACCACGAAACUUCAUUAUCUUAGAAACUACACAACCGAUUUGAACAAUAUUGAUAUCAGAUGAACGGGCUAGUUAAGAGUUAACUGAUGAAUUAUUAUUCAAAGUUUGGCUGCCCUAUACGUUCCCUUUUCAUUUGAUUGUAAUCAAACUUAAGCAACCGUUACGUCUUAAAUUGUUAAAACAACGAAAGUCUAUUAUCUUAAGUAUUACACGACUUAUUUGAACUUAACUAGUUUCUUAAGCACUAACAUUACGUCAAAUUUCGUAUUUUAUACUUCAAUUACAACAAUUUUAGAACCCAAAGAGUAAAUAUAGGUAUAUAUAUUGGAUUUGAAGCACAAUCGGACUUUAAAUGGGGUGGCGCAAAGCGAUUGAAGUUUGGCCUUUUUGAAAACCGAAAAAUCACUCAAGGGGGGGGGUUACGUGAAUUUUCGGUUUUCGAAAAAAAAAAUUUGAUACCAAAUGACCUAAAAACGCAUGAAACAUCGAGAAUUGGUGUCAUCUGAAAAUUUUUUUUUUGCGAAAAUCGACUCUCUAGGACUUAGUCGUUUUUUCAAUUGUGGAAGGCGGAGAUUAAAACAUUUAGAAUUUAUUGAGGGGUUAUAUCUACCAAAUGCUCAAAAAACAAGGCUUUUUUCAUGAAUUUUUUUACAGGACAUUUGAGAUGUAAGGUAUAUAAGUAAUAUAUCAUUGGAUUGAGCAGCUCUUGCAGAAUAGAAAAAACAUUUUUAUUGCUAUUUUUGUUACAAAAUGGCGGCCGCCGCCAUGAACCGCUUUUUUUUAAAGUUGUUCCGCGGCGAGCAGUAGAAGUCGUGCCCAACUCCACCUAUAACCAAAACAAAAAUUUUUUCAUUGACUACAUAAGUGUCGCUAGUGAAGUACACAUGAUUAUAUUUUUAGAAUUUUUCUUCGCAAAAUGGCAACGGUUUGAAAAAAAAAUUCUGUUUCGACAAAAAAAAUCGACUUUGAUUGUUUAUAACUUUAGUUGCUGUUAAUCAAACGCUAAAAUCGUGUGUACUUCACUAGAUAAUCUAAUGAAGAAGCUACAGUUAAAAUUUCAAGUCAAUCGGAUGUAAACUUUUUCAGUUCUACUGCUCGCCGAUUUUGAAAACAUGGUUUUGAGAAAAACGCGUUUAAAGUUUCAAAUUGCUAUAAAUCUUGAGAAUCGCAACAGUAAAGCCCUUAAUAUUUUUUUAACCUUCAGUCAGCUACCCCUGAGCCGCAAAGUUGUCCUUUCUGGGCUUUAUCUUCCUCUUCUUCCUUUUAUUUUAUCUGAUCUGAGGCUGCGCCUACGCUCUUUCGUGGUAUCAGACAUGCGACGCUCAGUGACUUUGACGCAGUUGGCGUCCGAUCCCACGCAAAACUCAAACUUGUCACUCAUAUUUAAGUACUUUUGAGUAUAACUCACAGUUAAAAAGUAACAAAAAACUCAAACAAAGAACGUACAUAACGAGAACGGCUGAUCUACUAAACAAAUGGAAAUUGUGAGUAAACACGUGCUGUAGAGACGCUAUAACGGUCGAAACAUGAUGCAGCGACCUCUAUACUACAGAUUUGAAACACGAUAUCGAUCAUAGGUAACUUCUACUAGUUUACAAAGCCUCGAAAUUAAAAACAAAAACGAGCAUCGCCAGAAUAAACGAAAAAUGUUUUUUGCAGCAUGAAAGUUGUUCGGUAAAAAUAGAUUUAAACGAAUUUUGAGUUUAGAUCUGUACUUGAGCGAUGUAGAUUUUGAUUCUAGGAUAGUUUUAGCAUGAUUUAAGCCAAUAAAAAAAUGAGAAGAAAAAAAAAUGUUUGGUAGAUAUAACCCCUUAAUGAAAUUGAUCGCUACACUCAAAAUAAUUUCCACGUUGAUCGUACGUGAAAAAUCACGUUGACUCAUAAACACACUCUUUUCUGAGAGUUUACUUGACACAAUUAAAAUUGAUAACCCACCCCUUAACAUCUUUGUGGAGCUCAUUUCACACUCACCUUAAAAAUCAAUCAAUCCUACGUGAAAAUCACGUCAUCUAGAACACACAGAACUCAUAUUUUGACAGCUCGACUUUCAAUUACUUGCUACGUGUUUUACACGUAUGAAAAAAGCAACAUGGCUGUGGCACAUUGUAUAUUAGAAGAACUCCUGACGGAUUUACAAAUUCCCGCUAAUCUAUUGGAGAUAUUGGAUGAGUGUGCAAUUCAGUUCCUAGAUUUGUUGACAAUAUCUACCGACCAGCUUGAGGAGUUUUUGGCACCAACCAAUAUUAGUUGGAAGUACUCGGUGUUGUUUGAGUUGAUGGUCAAUUGGCGAACAAGAAACGAAUCUAAAAUCGCCGAUUUAUUGACGUUGCUUCUUCCCGGACAACGAAUGCGACUUACUGGCCAAAUUUAUCGUGUCGAGGAGCACGAACUAAGCCAGCCCUGCGACCAAGAAAAUUUAGAAGGUGAUAGUACCUCAGAAAAUGAAAAUCAUGGAGAAACGCCACGAAUUUGUCAAUUGAUAACAACAUUAACACCAACACCCAGAGCGGUACCGCUGCUGCAACAAGAAGCUUUGCGACUCAAGUCAAAGGACGGGAUAUCGGACAACCAGAUAUACGAACCAGCCGCCAAUUUUGAUAAAAAGGUAAAUCAGGACGACGAGGACCUCUCGAAUGACAUUUUUCUGGAAAUCAAAGCUACCACUGUCGUUGAUGCAACUGCUCAAUACAUUGCACCAGAAACAAUCAGGCGCCGCUGCAAGCAAAAGCGCCGAGUGAUGUGGCAUGCUGUAGCUACUCGCAUGCGGAACAGAUCGAAAAACUAGAUGCUACCAGCUCGAACAACAGUUCGUUGCUUCCAAAUGUGGACAGCUUAGACGGUAUAUCCAAAAGUUCACACGUUAAGGUGCUAACUCCAAAAGCCUUAAUUGAAUUACUACAGCAAACCGAAAAAGGGAAGGAUGUUAUCAAGUACGCCAAGAUCAUAGAGCUGUCGGAACCUCUACAGUUGGAUUUGGCUGAGAUAAUUGAGAAGUACCAUUUAAACAACAAACAUUCUCUACAAAAAGAGGACCUUGAAUCGUAUGCAUUGGUGGUGACAUUGUUAUUCAAGUACGAGCGCAAGGAAAACUAUUACAUCGAAAAAGGUGGAGAUCGCAAGAAUCCCGGCGGGAAGAUCGCCAAUAAGAUCGGAAACUUGAAACAACGAAAACGCAAACGGGACAAUAAAGAAAACGAAUACCAGCGAAACAAACAAGACUGCAACCACGAGCCGGAAAAAAAUCCAGAAGCGGAAAGUGCUGCAGAAUGGCUUAUGCUAAACGAGGAUCCAUGGGCUGUCGUUCUAGAGCAGUGGAAAUGUAGCUAUGAUGCACGCAAAAAAAGAAUUAUUAUUUGGUCAGAAAGCUGACAGAGUACUCGGAAAGUUUUGCCACUAUAAAAAUCAGUAUGGUUUCCAACUGAUCGAUAUCGACUUUAAAAAACUGUUCCCAAAUGCAGUAAGUGGACGAAAUAAGUUUGAAAAUCUGGUUCCACAACUUACAGAAUUCAUCGCCAAGAAAGCCGGGGAUCCCUCUGCUGCCACCCUGCUUGAGACGUUAUCGGCAGAAGGCGCAAGCACAGAUACGAAAAUUUGCACUUUACUACAAGCACUUAACACUGUGUUGCCUCCGAUCUGCGCUGCUUCGCGGUUCAAACCAACAAUUCUAGCUGGCCAAGAGAACGUUUUGAUUUUUGCCUCCACCAGAGAUGAUGCCAUAACUAAAGUAAGGACCGUAUAUUCGAAUUACAAAGAACGAAAUAUUCCUAACGUGCCUAAGAUAGUUGUUAUCGGCGAAAACUUGCAGUGUUUGCGAGAGUGUUUUUUUGUAAUAUACGGUGAAAUAAUUUACGAACUAAAGUCUGCUUUACGAGCAGUUGAUGUACUAAUUAUGACAACAGCGGUAUUCGGACUGCCUUAUUCGAAAAUUAGUAAGCUCGUUUGGCACUUCAUAAGCGGCUACAUGUAUGGAAUCGAACAAGGAGAGUCAUAUGCUUGCAUAAACAAACUGAAAAAUUACUUGGACAUGAAAAACGCUCAAUAAUGAUAAGCUGUAUGAUACAACAAUGCAAAAGAAUUUUUGCAACGCCAGAUGAAUACUUGAAUCAUCUUAAGAAUACACACGAAGUUCCAGCCAUAUACCAAUAUCGAUGUACGAUACCCGGAUGUAACCUUUUAUUUUCGAAGCUAUAUUCGUUUAGCAAACAUGUCAGGCAUCACCCAGGAUUUCCCACUAUUGAUCCCGACACUGCUAGUGCACCAACACCAAGCUCAGCUGAACAUAACAAACGAACCAGCUCAGUAGAUACACAUCUUGACGAUCCAGUACUUGGUCCUUCCUUGACAGAACAUAGUUGCUCUCCAGCAAAAAUUAUCAGGACUGACGACAGCGAUGUUGCAAAGCCCCAGCCAAUCGAUAAGCUAAAUCAGAUGGCAUUUAAGUUAACAUUGCUGAUGCACAAAAAUAGAAACUUCACGAGAAAAGAUGUAUUCCAAAUACAAAAUGAAAUUAGCUUAAUACUAUCAGAAGUAGCUACAGAGAUAGAAAAUUUCAAUCUUCCAAUAUCGAAUCCAGAUAUAAAAUUUAAUUUUAUAAUUAUAUACAUAAAAUCAAAUCCGUUUUCCAUUUCAUAAAUUCAGAUCAUAAGCUAUUCAAACACUUAGAAACUACAAUAGGAUUUAAACUACCAACAAUAGUUUCAAUUGAAAAUCAAAAAGCUGUGUCAAGAUUGAUAGAUAUUGAAAUCGAUACAGAAACUGAGCAACCAAAAAACUACUAAAUAAUAAUGCCUAUAGUAUUCCAAAUUAAGUCAUUUUUUGAAUGUGAUGAUAUAUUGUAUAAGACCCUUCAGAAUACAAGUCGACUAGAGGAAUCAACUAAUAUUUCAAAUUACAUAAACGGAAGUACAUGGAAAACCAUAAAACAAAAAUAUGCUCAAGAAUACGUGGUGCCAGUUUGGUUAUACUCAGACGAAUGCGAAAUAAACGAUUCCCAAAGCUCACACAGUAACAGGUAGGCAUUUGUGGUAUUUACUAUAAAUUUCCCACCAUUCCUAAAGAAUUUCAAUCAAGGCUGUGCAACAUUUUAGUUGCUGGAGUGAUUAAAAAAUCAGAUAUAAAAGAAAUUGAGAUAAACAGCUCGUUGGAAACUAUUGUUGAUAAAUUCAAGCAAAUAGAAGAAGAAGGCAUCCAUAUAGUUCUACAUGGGAAAGAGGUGCUUGUUAGAUUUGUGUUAUGCCUAGUGCUAGGAGAUAACUUGGGAAUGCACACGAUGUUGCUAUUUGCAGCUAGCUUUAAUGCCACCUUCUAUUGUCGAUUUUGUAAACGACCCAGAGAUCUACUGAAGACAGAUUGCAAGGAGCAUGCUGAUUGUCUGCGCCGGCGACAAGAUUAUUUAAUGGAUUUAGAAGUAGGACAACCUAGCGAAACUGGGGUAACAGGAAACUCGGUAUUCGACAGACUACCUUCUUUCCACGUAACCGAAAACAUAAGUGUUGAUGCAAUGCACGAUUUUUAUAGUUCAGGUAUAUUCGUAAAUAUGGCUUAGUUGAAAUAUUAGAUCACUGUAUCUAUGGUAGGAAAUAUUUCACGGUGAACGAUUUUAACAAUCAUCGCAAAUCGUUAGCAAGAACAUGCAUAGAUAAUGAGCUUAGUCGAAUACCUGAAAUCACCGAAGGCUACAAUAGUAAAGUGAAACGUAAAACUGUGCUGAUAAGAUUAACUUCAAGUGAGUGUCGCAUUUUGACUCAUUACAUUACUUUUAUAAUUGGGCAAUUCGUACCAGAAGAUGAAAUGGUUUGGAAAUAUUGUUUGAUACUGGUUAGAUUAACUGAACUUUCCCUAAAAAGCUCAUUUUCAUCAGAAAUGAUUAAUGAUUUUCGUCGGUUAAUCGAAAUUCAUCAUGUACCUUGAACUAUUAAAAAAAGAUCUGAAGCCAAAGCACCACUUUAUAGUGCACUAUCCGUCACUGAUUGCUGCAUCAGGGCCAAUCACAUAUGCACAUAUAAUGCCCUCGCGAAAAAAUAUAUGUUUAACUCUGCGUAUUAAAGGUUCUCUUCAAUUUACUUAUGAUUUAUUGAAUGAAAAUUUCUUCAAGUCUCCAGAAUUCGGAGAUUUUAAAAUGUUCGAUCUACGCCUAAAUAUUGAUUCUGAUUUAAACAUGCUGAUCUCAUGUAGUCUAGAAUAUAAAGGCAGUCAUUACAGAGCUGGAUACUUCUUGAUAAUAUUUGAAAAUCACAGCAUGAACCUAUACGAAGUUAUAGAGUUUAUAAAGCAUAACAACGAUAUACAUGUAGUAGGUCAAUACUGGCAGUUGGAAAACUAUUGUGACCACAAUCUAGCAUAUGAGGUAAAAAAGUGCUUACCCAUUGUAACCAUUCUGAGAAUGGAAUCAUUCAAUAGUUCUCCUGUAAUAGUUCAUAGAAUAGCUGAUAUAUUCUUUUUCCGAGUCAAAAAUUAUCUAAAUGUAGAUUAAAGUAGAAAACCAAAUAUUGUU